rnacentral:rRNA from 1 species
CGUGCUUAAUACAUGCAAGUCGAGCGGAGCUAUUGAGGAAGCUUGCGAAUCAAUAGUCGAGCGGCGGACGGGUGAGUAACGCGUGGGCAACAGGCCUUCUAGUCUGGGACAACAGUUCGAAAGGACUGCUAACACCGGAUAUGCUCCCGAAAGGACAUCCUUUUGAGAGGAAGGGUUACGCUAAUAGAUUGGCCCGCGUCGGAUUAGCUGGUUGGUAAGGUAAUGGCUUACCAAGGCGACGAUCCGUAGCUGAUCGGAGAGGAUGAUCAGCCACACUGGGACUGAGACCCGGCCCAGACGCCUACGGGAGGCAGCAGUGGGGAAUCUUGGACAAUGGGCGCAAGCCUGAUCCAGCCAUGCCGCGUGAGUGAAGGAGACCUUCGGGUUGUAAAGCUCUUUUGCCAGGGACGAUAAUGACGGUACCUGGAGAAUAAGCCCCGGCAAACUUCGUGCCAGCAGCCGCAGUAAGAC